rnacentral:lncRNA from 1 species
UUUAAUGGAUUAUAUAAUUGGCAAGUUUUCAUUGGUCUUUCAGAUUGCUCCAUUUAUGAAUGAACAUGAGCAGAAUGUAGGACAGAUGGCAAUCGGAUUUGAGGCUGAAAACAGAGUAAGCACCGGGUUGCAGCUUUAGCUGGUCCCCGAAUUGUUUAAAAGCUAGAUCUCCUGAUUGGAGGGAGUGGGACAAUGAUCGAACCAAGCUAAGCAAAUAUAAUCCAUUGGAUCAACGGCCAUGAUCACGGAAUUUAUCCUUGUUGCCUUUUUGGGUUAAAAACUUGCCUUUUUGAAAGUUGGGCUGGGGAGUUACGAAGCAAGUGUAGAAGCAGGGAUGUUGUAAUUCUCAUUAAGGUGAGUAGGUAAUAGUUGGACUCGAUUGACGGGCUGCAGGCCUGUGAGUAUGAGCCCAAAGCCCACUUUCGUAUUUUAUGAAUAGAGGUCCACACAUGACAUGUGAGCUACGGUCAGAACUCAGAAGUUCAAUUGUAAAUGACUAAAUUCCAACAUUUGGAUGAGUAUUAUUACUUUCUAGCCUACUCUAUGGGCUACUUCAAAUUUGAUAAUUUGUUUUUCUUUUGGCC